AAAAACAUCGCCUCUUGAAAAAAUAUAAGAGGUCCAGCCUGCCCAGUGACAAAGUUAAACGGCCGCGGUACCCUAACCGUGCGAAGGUAGCGCAAUCACUUGUUCUUUAAAUGAGGACUAGUAUGAAUGGCAUCACGAGGGUUAUACUGUCUCCCUUUUCCAAUCAAUGAAACUGACCUCCCCGUGAAGAGGCGGGGAUGACACUAUAAGACGAGAAGACCCCAUGGAGCUUAAAACUCAGUACCAAUUACCUAAACCACAUUUCAUCUUAACCAGGUAAUUAUGGUCCCUAGUUUUCGGUUGGGGUGACCGCGGAGUAAAAUGAAACCUCCACGAUGAACGGACCAACGCUCCUAAUCAUAGAGCCACAGCUCAAAGAAUCAAAAAAUUGACAAAAAUUGAUCCAAUUAAUUUUGAUCAACGAACCAAGUUACCCUGGGGAUAACAGCGCAAUCCACUUCAAGAGCUCCUAUCGACAAGUGGGUUUACGACCUCGAUGUUGGAUCAGGGUAUCCCAGUGGUGCAGCCGCUACUAAAGGUUCGUUUGUUCAACGAUUAAAACCCUACGUGAUCUGAGUUC
rnacentral:rRNA from 1 species